CCCACAUAAUCUUUCCUUAUGGAUCUUGUUGAAAUUCUCCCCUCCCACUCUGUGUGUUCAUUGACAUGUCUUGAUAUUUUGUCUCUUCAUCAGCUACUGUUCCCCUCCCCUGCAGAUCAGGGGCUGUAAUGUCUGACGAGCAGGGAAUGGCGAAUGGGAUCCAGAGAAUGUCUUGAAGAAGCAAUGAUCUCAACCCUAAAUUUAUCGAACUUCCACUUGUGGACCAUCUUCUACAGUUCUCUCUGCAUAGAGCCUGGCGGAUGAGGAAACUGAAGCAAAAGGUUGUUAAAUAAAUGGCAGAGCCGGGAUUCAAAACUAGGUCAUCUGGUUCCAGAGCCUGUGCUUGUCCGCUGUACAAUAAUCCCUCUGGUGUUCAGUACCUACCUCUGGGGCUCUUGAGAGGAGUAAAAUGAUAAUGUGCAUCAAGCACCAAGAACAAGCACAUGAUUAAAAGUGGAGGAGAAUGGUGUCCCAAGAGGGCCAGAGUCAGG